rnacentral:rRNA from 1 species
GACGAACGCUGGCGGCGUGCCUAAUACAUGCAAGUCGAACGAACCGCGACUAAGUGCUUGCACUAAGUCAAGGUGAGUGGCGAACGGGUGAGUAACACGUGGGUAACCUACCUCAUAGUGGGGGAUAACAGUCGGAAACGACUGCUAAUACCGCAUAGGACAUAGGAUCACAUGAUCCAGUGAGGAAAGGUGGCGCAAGCUAUCGCUAAGAGAUGGACCCGCGGUGCAUUAGCUAGUUGGUAGGGUAAAGGCCUACCAAGGCGAUGAUGCAUAGCCGACCUGAGAGGGUGAUCGGCCACAUUGGGACUGAGACACGGCCCAAACUCCUACGGGAGGCAGCAGUAGGGAAUCUUCCGCAAUGGACGCAAGUCUGACGGAGCAACGCCGCGUGAGUGAAGAAGGUCUUCGGAUCGUAAAGCUCUGUUGUUAGAGAAGAACAGCGCAUAGAGUAACUGCUAUGCGUGUGACGGUACCUAACCAGAAAGCCACGGCUAACUACGUG